rnacentral:antisense_RNA from 1 species
CCACGUCAUUCCAAGCCACACUUUGGAGUGAGCAGGGGUUUGGCCCAUAGCCAACCCAGGCAGGGGGUGACUUUCCUUCUGGAAGGUAUCAGGUGAAUGAACUUUAGGGAAGAAAGGUCAAUGGCUGGUCCACAGCGCUGAAGCAGAAAAGCCAGUUUCCGACUAUAUCCACAGUGAGAGUUGCCUUCUCUAGUCAGCCUGGCAGUCACUGGCCCCACUGUUGGUGUGCUAUUCCACUCUCUGAGGCCACUAAACCUUGAGCUCCUAGAGAACAGGGAUGCGUUCUCUUCGUCACUUUGGUAGCCUCAGUUCCAUAGCAAAUGCCCUCUCUUUGAACUUCUCCACCUCAUCCUUAAAAUCUGAGCACACAUAUCGCUUUCUCAGAGAAGUCCAACAGUUUGAGGGCCAGGAUAGAGCUCCACCAGAGCAGAACAUCAAGAGUGGGUCUGAUGGCUCCGAGAAGCGGCAGGAUCUUGCAAGGCUGUGUUGAACAUUUUAUUUUGACCAAACGACAAAGGGAACUCCCUGUAGACAGUCUUAAAGCAGAAGAGUAACAGGAGCAAACUUGUACUUGAAUGGUAUUUGAAAGAGAGGAGAGUCUAUUUCCCAAAGUGCUUGCCUCCCCUACUUGUCACAGAGCCUACAAUAACACCGUUAAAAAUUGACUUAUUUUUGUUAUGCACAAUCCUAUCUAGACAUUCUCUUCUGAAACAUAAAUACUCUUGGAAGGACUAAUCCCUUAAGUAAUAAACAACUUGGAGAGGGUUUUUAAAUUACAUAGUUUCCUGCUAACUAAAGAGACUUAAGAAAGCCUAAGUUCUUCAGGUGAGGUAUGCUGGAGGGAUACAAGGUGGGGGGAAGAUGAGAGGGUAGUGAGGAGUAGUUAUGUCAAGGGCUGAGCCUAGGAGGAAAGGUGGGGCCCAUGGCAGCCAGUCAAGAUGCCAUAUUGCUUCAAAACACCAAAGGGAGAGUUACCUGGAAAAGAUACGGAGAAACUGAACUUUGAUAUGAACACUAUUCUUAUUACACCAGAUAGAAAUGUCACAAUAUGGAUAAAAUGGACAAAUUACUUGAAAAAUACAAUCUAACAACACUCAAGAAGAAAUAGAUAACCAAAAUAGGCCUACAUCUAUUAAAGAAAUUGAAUAUGCAAUUAAAAACCUUCUGAUAUAGUUUGGAUGUUUGUCCUCUCCAAAUCUCAUGUUGAAAUGUAGUCCCCAAUGUUGGAGGUGGGGCCUGGUGGGAGGGGUUUGUAUCAUAGAUCCUUCAUGAAUGUCUUGGUGCCAUCCUCCCCAGUAAUGAGUGAAUUCUCAGUUAUGAGUUCACACAAUAUCUGGUUGUUUGAAAGAGUCUGGAACUUCCUCCUCCUUCUCUCUUGUUCCUUCUCUCACCAUGUGACUCAGGCACCGCUUCAUCUUCUGCCAUGACUGGAAGAUUCCUGAGGCCCUCAACAGAAGCAGAUGCUGGCACUAUGCUUCAUGUACAGCCUGCAGAACCAUGAGCCAAAUAAAUCUCCUUUCUUUAUAAAUUA